ensembl:lncRNA
UUCUACCCAGAGAGAGACGACACAAAUCUAAAACUCUCUCCAUCAUGUCAGCUCUCAGUCACUGGUUCUGAACUGAUCAGGUGGACAGGACGAAGUUCUCCUGGAACACUUCAUAUUACUUGUUACUACGCUUUGGAUAACUCUGUUCGUACUCCUUCUCCUCACUCUCUCCCAGCUCCAGUCACAGUGCGGUAUCAGAAACCGAGACUAAGCGUCAGUCAUGAUGGUCAGUUUGAUGAAUUGAGAUUUGUGUGUGAAAUAUCAGGGUCAGAGUCAGUAACUGCUGAUUUUAGCUGUAAUCUCUACACUGGAGAAAAUCCUCAGCUUUUCCUAAACCAAACAUCUCAAAAGAGAAAAUCUGGGAAGGUUUGUAGUUUUACAGCACAGAGAGACGCUGUGUUUAAUCGUCUGCAGUCAGUAAAGAGUCGUGAAGUGAGCUGUGAUUAUUCACUGAUCUCUGACCCGACUGCUCGCUCUCUAAUGAGUGAUAAAUACAACAUGACGCAUUUCAUUACAACAACAACAAGAACAACAACAACAACAACGACUCAGACAUCCACUCCUGAAGAGAAACCCAGUGCAGGAACAACAGCAACAACAACAACAACAACAACAACAAUAAAGAGUGAUAAAUACAACAUGACACGUUUCUUUCCUACACCAACACAGCCGUCCAUCACUACUGAGAAA